rnacentral:rRNA from 1 species
GCGUCAAAGCAUUCUUACCAAAAAAUCCAAAACAAACAACAACAUUUCCUGACCUUCCUACUGAGCAACUCUAUCCUACGAUAGAAGAACUAAUGCUAAAACUAGUAAUAAGAAUAUUACUCUCCUUGCACCCCCCUCAAUCAGAAAUAGAUAAACUACUGAACAUUAACAAACUUCAAAAAGAAACAAACCACCACCAAGAAAAAAUUUCCACAAUUUGUGACACCAACACAGGAGUGCUAAAAAGACAGAUUAAAAGCCCAACAAGGAAUUCAGCUAAUAGAUUUCAACUGUUUACCAAAAACAUAGCCUUUAGCACCAUAAGUAUUAAAGGUCUUGCCUGCCCAGUGACUAUUUUAACGGCCGCGGUAUCCUAACCGUGCAAAGGUAGCGUAAUCAUUUGUCUCCUAAAUAGAGACUUGUAUGAAUGGCUAACUGAAAAUCUAACUGUCUCCUAAGGCCAAUCAAUGAAACUGAUCUCUCAGUACAAAAGCUGAAAUAAACCCAUAAGACGAGAAGACCCUGUGGAGCUUAAAAUACGCACUAUCUUUUACCUCAUAAAAACCACGGAAACAAUCCUAUAAAUAUAGUGAUUUCUUUUAGUUGGGGCGACUUUGGAAUAAAAAAAAACUUCCAUGAAAGGGCCCACCCUACCAAGGCCAACCAGCCAAAAUAAUUUAUUUUUUUGACCCAGAUAUCUGAUCAAC